rnacentral:rRNA from 1 species
GACGAGCGCUGGCGGCGUGCUUAACACAUGCAAGUCGAACGAUGAAGAAAAGAAUCGAAGCUUCGGCAGAAAUUCAUUUCGGAUUAGUGGCAGACGGGUGAGUAACGCGUGAGCAACCUACCUCUUACAAAGGGAUAGCCUCGGGAAACCGGGAUUAAUACCAUAUAACAUUGUGACGAAGCAUUUCGAUGCAAUCAAAGCUACGGCGGUAAGAGAUGGGCUCGCGUCCCAUUAACCGGAUGGUGAGGUAACGGCUCACCAUAGUGACGAUGGGUAACCGGCCUGAGAGGGUGAACGGUCACACUGGAACUGAGACACGGUCCAGACUCCUACGGGAGGCAGCAGUGGGGAAUAUUGCACAAUGGAGGGAACUCUGAUGCAGCGACGCCGCGUGAGUGAUGAAGGAAUUCGUUUCGUAAAACUCUGUUCUAUGGGAAGAAAAGGACUGUACCAUAGGAGAAAGCGCCGGCUAAAUACGUG